UAUCGUUUCUAUGUAAAUAUUUAGAUUGGUGCAAAAGUAAUUGCGGUUUUUGCCAUUAAAAGUAAUGCGGCCAAAACUGCAGUUACUUUUGCACCCACCUAAUACAUCAAA